AUGGAUCUGCAACAAGAAAUGAAAGGGAGGAAACAUUUCAACAUUUUCCUUCAGCUGAGAACCCACCUGAGCUGUCCUGGUGUCCAGUGGGAACUCACCCAGCUGCAUCUCUACCCUGCUGAUCCCCUGCAUUCACAUGUAGCUUCUCGUGGCAUGUAUAUGGUUCUCAGCAGUCAAUCCUCAACUUUGGAACUCUCUCCCCUUGAGGCCCACUGAAGCCCACACAUGAUCAUCUUCUGGAAGCACUGGGAAGACUUUUAGCAAGCAGAGUUAAGUUCUGGGGUAUUUGGGGAGGGAGGCUUAUUUUAUUACUUACUUUAUAUUAAAAUUAUCUGCUUUUAUGCCUUGUUUUUAUUGUAAGCUGCCCUAAGCUUUUUUUGAGGGUGGCACCAUAUAAAUCAAAUGAAGUCAAUCCAUCAAUUAAUCAGUCUAUGUACUAUUUUUAAAAGGUCUCAUCUACAGCCCUGACUGUGAAAACAGAAUUUCAUGUGGCCCAUUAUUCAGCCGCUAGACGUUUAUGGGUUGCAUAUUGUUCUAGAGAGGGUGUCAUCCUGGGAAGGGAAACAAAGCUGGAAUCUCAGCUGUCUCAAAGCCUUUUUGUUUCACUGAAGUUGCUGAUGUUUCCUUUGAUAAUACUUUCCAUUUAAGAUGGACUGUUUUUCUAGAUAUCAUCACACUGACCAUCAUUUGGAACAAAGCAAAAGAGAAAUAACGCACACUCUUUCCAGGACUGAGACAAGAGCUACAGUAAAUACCUGUACACAUUUGUAUUGUUAUCUGUUGUUUCAGUAGUAUCAAUUUUUUGUUCUCACACAUUUUUUGUAAAAGCAAACUCCUCAGGAACGUACAGCCUUAUAGAAAAUAUGCACAUGAUGGAGGAAGGAGAGAAAUUUCUCAGCUCUAUCCCUUGCAGUUUUUUUAAUGCUAUUCCUGUAGCAAUAUUCAGUAAAGUCAGUACAUAAAUUUCCUCUGGCAACAUUUUUGAUGAAAAACUGCUUUUUUCAUUAAAAGGAAAUUUUCAUGGAAAAAAAAAUCAUUUUCAUCAUUCUUUUUACUUUUUUAGUGGAAACCCCUAAAACUGUUUUUAAAAGCAGUACGAAAUUCUCAUACAAAAAAAGAAUCACUGACAAAAUAUUUUCCCUAGCAGCAAUACACCCCAGGAAUGACAAAUUUAAUGUAUAAUUCAUAAAGUACUGACCAUUCAUUUUUAUUUAGAUACAUUUUAACUAUUUAAAUGCAUAAUUCAGCAUCAAGCAUUAAUACUUUAAAUCCAUGUAUUACUAAGGCACAGUAAAAAUGAUACUUUCCUCCAAACUAGAGAUUUAAUAACUUGUAUAUAUAUCUCAUUUAGUUGUUCCUUCUGUGUCCCAACAACACAUUUGAAAUCUGUUAAAUAUUACAGUGUGGAAGAUAUGAGGUUUAAAAGAUGAGCAAUCCUGGAAUUAGCUGAGUUUAGUUUAGGUUUUAUAUUUUGUUUCAACCUUAAAUAAAUGAUUUCCUGCUUCAAUAUAUUACUUCCA
rnacentral:lncRNA from 1 species